UUUUUAAUUUAAAAAAUAUUGAAUGACAAAUGUGAUUUUCUUGUGUGAUGAUGUGUCAUUCAUAUGGAGAGAGUUGACCAACUUUCAUAUAUAUGAUUUAUAUAGUGAACGUGGAUGAGGUAAAAUCAAAGAGUAUUGAUGUUAUCAUCUUAUUUGCGAGACAAGUAUAGUUGUUUCAAUGUGAGGUCGGUUAUAGUUACAAUAUCCUUCUCACAUUGUCACGUAAGUGUGAUCAUUUUGUUUCACUUACACUAGCUUUCUCACAUUGUUACAUGAGAAAUUAUCAUUUCAGGUUCAUAAGACAUUCAACAGUUGUGUAGUAAAUCAAACUUAAUGAUAAACUUCCUCAACAGUUUUACCAUAGACUCUUUAGUUUUACAUGUUCACAAGAUAUGAUUUUCUAAAUUUAUUUUGGUUACCCGUUAUAUGAUGAUAUAGUUGAAACACGCAAGAUUAUAAUAUUUUUCUUUCACUUGGAAUGAAUAUUAAUUCUUCACGUAAACUAUAGAGAUCACAUGUUCUGAGAUUAGUAUAAAUGUGAAACCUUUACUAUAUCAAGAUUGAUUUUU
rnacentral:sRNA from 1 species